ACUACCUCGGUCACUUUUCAUGAUAGGUACGAAAAAAAUAUUCAACUCGAUGAAGUGAACCUAUUCGAUAGGUUGAAGUGCAAUUUGUGUGCGAUUUCGAUUGAUGCAAUAAAUCUAUUGCCAAAAAGGAAAACUGACCACCGGGAGGUGGACGAAUAUAAUCAAAUACUCAUACAGGACCAGGAAAUUAAAGCUCCAAAACGCCUGUCCAUUGGAUCGAACUCCCGGACAAACAAAGCCAACUACAUUGCGCAAUUAAAGAUGUCUCCCGAUUGGUCCUGUUGGUUCCUGCACUAUCGAUGUGUAUUAUCGAUCGAUGAGUUUUAUGACAUAAUGAUACACCGCAUGUAGCGCCGUUUAGAACAAAGGAAGACGGCUAGGUUUCGGCACGCGCGCGCACCCCUCUAGGCUUGAUGCGAACGAGUCAAAUCUCACCGAUUGUAAUAACGCAAGUUUUGUGUACAAUAAAGGUGUGUAAAGGUUAA